GCGAGCGCGACAGCCGGUCGGCGAGUGCCGCGCACACAGUGAUCUGCGGUUCUUCCUCCCGCAGCUUCGCAGAGUGUGUGUUCGCCGUUCCUCACAUUUGUGUACAGUGACACGGGGUGUUGUACUUCGUUCUGUGAACUCUCGGUUGUGGACAGUGGUCAUCUGCGUCGCGGGCGAGAGAGCUGCGUGCGUUCAGUGCACUGAUGAUGUGUGCGCCAUGCUGAGGGAGAGACGACUGGCGGGCGUGGUUGAUGUUCGCCCACACUGCUGGGAACUCUAGACAAUCCGUCCAUCGUCGAGUCUAGCCUAGAGCUGCUACAGCUAUGCAAGAUAUGGCAACAAUGCAGCAACACACUGCAACGUCACCUGCUCCGGCCACAACAGUGGGUGUUACCCAAGAUGCCAGUUCGGAUCCGGUCUCUGCCGACGACAAAUGCAGCCCCGCCGUGCAGCAAGAGACGUCUCGCACGGACGUGGAAAUGUCCGGCGAGCGCCCUGUGGCAGCG